rnacentral:tRNA from 1 species
GGCCUCUUAGCGCAGUUGGCUAGAGCGUUGGCUGUACUAAAGCCUUCCCCUUGCUGGCGUGGGUUCAAAUCCCACCGAGGCCG